AUACUACGUUUUGCACCAAAAAAUGUAGUUUUCCCCUUCAUGGGAAUGUUGUGCAGGUUGUAUCUAGCAGCAAUGCACCACAAUGAAAAUGCUAUGCGGUAGCAAGCCACAACAUCUACAGGACAGGCCGUUUUCAAGGUUGUUUUUCCAAAGGCGAAGAGGGGGGAAGGCAUUGUGAAGCCCGUGAAAACAAAUCCAACCUUCAACUAUGUACGUGAACUCAUGAGGCUGCUCAUGCAGGAAGUUUUUGAGGACCCUACAUCUCUUGCAGAGGAAUUGAAGACCAUCC